CUUUUCAUCAACUUCUCUCCUCUCUCUGCUUUUUCUUCUCCAUCGAAGCACUUUGAGCUUUCUCCAGUUUCCUUCUUUGUCUCAUAUAUCUUUUGAGUGGCAUUAGCCAUAUCAUUGAGUGGAAAAUCCAUGCAUGUGGGUGUAAUUCCAAAAUGGUUUCCACAGUGCAGUGGUAUCCGAAACAAUUGUUUAGAUUGUUUUAUCCCAUGGACAUCAUGAGUAAUAGUCUGUUCGCACAUUUUUUGCAGUGUCACAAAACUGUUAGAAUUCUCUAUUAAUUGGUGAAAUACCAAUCCUAGGAUCUUGAAUGUCAUGAUUCUCACUCAAUAUGUAGAUCAAGGAUACAAAUCAAUGUCAUACCUAAAUCCAUGUUCUCAGAUUUGUUCCUUUGUAUGUAUUCAUAGAGAGGUUUUGGUAUAAUGGUCUUCCUCAACCAAAUCUCUGAUUCCUCCUGGGACCUUCGCUUUCUCUCUGAUGAAGAGAGACGAAAACUAUGUUUGAUUUGGUGUAUUGGGGACCAUAACCUUCCUGUGUGUUAACUUAAUAGGGUUCCCAUUAUUCCCUAUGAGUUUACUACUAUAGGUAUCCACUCAUUAAACUCAUAUCCAUUAUCACUUUAUAUUAGAAGUCAAAAGGGUUGUCAGUAAUAAUAUCACUUAUUUUAUAACCCCGAAAAUAAAAAGCCGAUAUAAUUGUAUAAAUAUACGUAUGGAAGAAGAGGUUGAUACUCUAUGGUUUGAAAUAGAAAAAUUUAACUCAACAAGGUUAUUUAAUUGCUUAAAUAUAACCUAAGAAUCUUUUGAAUAAUUACAAGCAGAUUUAAAAAUAUUUAAAAACUUAAAUGACUGAUUCCUUCCCAUAAUUGAAAUUAGACAAUUAUAUUGUCUUUUAACAAAGAAAAUUAAAUAGAUAUUUCUGUAUAGAAAAGUUCAUAAACAAAAUGUUAACUCCCAAAUUUAAAACCUUCUAAAAUAAAUAAUUUAAGCAAUUAAAGAGUUAAUGAAGAAGUGAUAUUAAACAUGAAUUUUUACAGUAAAUUACCUAAUCUCACAUGUUACUUCUUAUUUUUUAGCAUCACCAAAUUUCCACUAUAAUCAAUCACAUGUUAUUGUGAAUCUGUUAAUCUCACUCACAGAUUGUAAUUAAUACGAAAAUGAAAGAUCAUCAAUUAAAUAGCAAAUGACUUAAUAAAAACUAUUUAAAUGAAUUAAAGAACAAUUGAAUUUCAAAGUAAAUGAAAAUAACUUUAAAUGUGUUUCAGAUACUUGUAGUAUAAGUGUGGUAUCUCCUGUGCUCAUUCUUCAUGGUUUAGACUAUUAUAAAUUGUUCAUUUAAUGUAUUCAUUGUAGUAGUCAUUGUAAACUCGUAGAAUUCUACCAUUUUAUUUAAUGUGCAUUGAGACUCAUAUGUUUAAAUAGUAUUCCUCUCCAGUACUGGAGAGUCCAAUAUUAAGAAUGAGAGGGGGAAGUUUUUUUUUUAAAUUUAAUUUAAAAAAGUAAAAAAUUUGGACCAUUAAUUUUGUUUUUUUGGCACAUGUCAAAAUUCUAAAUAUAUACUGCCAUCUCCUGUAAUAAACAAAAUAAGUAAAAAAAAAACUCAGUUAAGAUUCCUUGGGUGCUUGUAUUGUUGUCUUUCUAAAAAUAGAACAUGUAUAAUAAUGCACUAUUAUACAUUCUAUGUUUUUUAUAGCAGAUUAUGGGUGUCCAGUGAUGGUAGUGUUUUAGACUGCACUAUCUUAUGGUAAACCAGGCCAAGUUCCACAUGGUGUUCCUAGAAGAGUGUUUUGCCCACUUCCCUGGAAACCUGCUUCUCUCUACCAUUGGACUAUAGUGAAGGAUAUGGGAAAGAUACUCGUGAUUUAUAUAUUGGUCGCAAUUCUUCCAGCUUUGAUGAUAGCAGGAGUCAGCUAGCACCAACAGAUUCAAGGCAAGUAAUAGGAACAAAGGAAAGGGGAAGGAAAAGACCCCCCUUAAAGAAUGGAAAAUCCAUAAAGAGAUGAAGUGCUUCUUCUAUAAGAAGAAUGGGCACUAGAAGGAGGAUUGUCCUAAAAUGAAGAAAUGUUUUGAAAAGAAAGGGAUUCAUUUCAAUCCAAACUAAGGAAACUGAGAAGUUUCUUUACAUUGGGAACAUAAUGAAGGCACAAGUUCAUGGAAUUGGAACAUAUAUAUUUAACCUAGAUAGU